CGCAAGCACCUCCCUGCUCAUUUGGAUCCAGUUUUUAACCGGGAGGGAUUUAUUUCAUGAUAUCUUGACUGGGACCAAUGCCAAGGCAGGGGUAGAAAUUUAUGCUCCUCAAUUUUUUGCUCGCCAGCUUGGUUUCGGCCAAACUUGGCCUGUUUCUCCUUGCUAUUCAAGGAACUUAAUUGACCAUUUUUAUACCAUUAAUAAGGCGGAGGUGGAGGCAAAGGCUAUAAAUGCUCGCAAUCUUCUUUUAACCAGCCAUUUCUCAUUAGCCCCCUUCAAUUCUAGCCACGCCAUUCAUCCUCUUUUUGAACAGCUCUGGCCGUCAGUGAAGCGCAGAUUAUUUGCGAUUGACGCCAAUCAUGCCUUUCAUUCACUAGACCAGCCGAGCAUUUCUUUCCCUCCUCCUGUUUUAGUCACUCCUUUGUCCGUUCGGAGUCCUUCUCCUUCUCGUCGCACUAAACAGUCUGCUCGUCCAUCUUCUUCUCUUCCUGCCAAGCCUACUACAGCCAAGAGUGCCCCAAGCCGCAAACGGCCAACCUCAGCAUCUCCUAUUCUGGAGGAUGAUGACGAUGAUGCCCCUCUUAUCGUCAGGAGGAAGGUAAUUAAAUUGGUUUACACAAAAGCAUAAUUUUUCAUCCUAGAAACUUUUCUGUGUGCUGAUGAUCUUUUGGACUUCUCAGAAAAGCUCAGUCUCUCCUUCAAAGGCUUUGGCAUCGACAACUCCUGCUCCAUCAUCCUCCGUUGAAGCUGCUUCAUCCAAACCGGUUGAUGAGGGGACUGCACUUAAAGAGACAUCUUCAGUCCCAGAGUCCUCAUCACAACCCAUGGAUGAGCUACCUUCUUCCCAGGGCGUCAACCCCCCAAAUAUCGA
rnacentral:lncRNA from 1 species